CCCACGUUAAAUGUGGAUAUGAAGAAAAUUAACGCAAAGGAGAUGAAUUGAGAUGCUGUAGUCAGUGGAUCUGACAGGCAUGCGGAGUCCAAUCUGCAAGUGGCGUCUAGUCACCCCCGCUUGUGGAUGCCCUCCUGGAGCACUUGGGCCUGAGGUUUCCAGCAGAUGGACUGCCGACCUGUCUCUUCUUUAACCCCACUUUGUAUCUCACAAAUCUGCUCCAGUUCACAUUACUGAUUUGACUACCUGUACUGUCACCAGCCAUGGAUAAUCCCACAUCAGCCUUCUAUAAAACUAUAAAAAUUGAAUAUUCACGAGUUUCUGUUUAUUUUCAAAGUCACUGUUGUGACAGAAGCCUAGUAGUGUGCUUUCAGUGAGGCUGAACACACUGCUAUUAAUAUUUUAUAGCAAUUCAG
rnacentral:lncRNA from 1 species